UCAAGGACGACUGGAUUCUAUGAAGUGGCCACGUCACACAGAAGCUGCGGAUAGGAGAUAGGAAGCCUUAGAGAAUGUCACCUGCCUCCAUUCUUCCCCUAACUCUGCCAUGCACCCAAUAGUCAUUGGCUUUAUAGUCCUUUGCUUCCUGAGUGCAGGCUCCUUUGAUGCUGAAGUCACCCAGACGCCAAGACAUCUGCUCAAAGGGAAAGGACAAAAAGUGAAAAUGGACUGUGUUCCGAUAAAAGGACACAGUUAUGUUUAUUGGUAUCAGCAGAUCCCAGCCAAAGAGUUCAAGUUCUUGAUUUCAUUUCAGAACGAAAAGAUCUUUGAUGGAAAUGAGAUGCCCAAGGAGAGAUUUUCAGCUGAGUGCCCCCAAGACUCAGCCUGCAGCCUGGAGAUCCAGCCGGCAGCGCUACAGGACUCGGCCAUGUAUUUCUGUGCCAGCAGGGUGUCCACAGUGUGAAACAUCAGCUAUUCUUGAUGCACAAACUCAGGGUGGCCCAGCACAGGAAGCAGGUGGCUCGCUGGUUGGAAGGAAGGAAGAGAAGCCAACUAGAGCUUCCCUUGGCCAGGAGGGAGUUUAUUGCAAGGCUAAAGAUGUGCCCCUCCAGAAAAACAAACAAACAAACCAACCAGUUGCUGUCCAGUCAAUUCAGACUCACAGAGACCCCAUGUGUGCAGAGUA